AGUUACGAGGCAACUAACUUUUAGAACAUUUCGCUGAAAGUUCGUGAGUCGAAAGUCUGUCGUGUCAACACGGAGAUAUUCUGCGAUAUUGGACAGUUCCUGCGACAUACACGGUCGAGAUCUGCCCGAUGGAUCCCGGUGCUGAAGUUCCCGUGGCGGAUGGAAGCGGAGAGAGUCGAGGUGCUUGAAGAGCUGAGUCGGUCACCACCGAGACUCCAGGCCUUCCCACCCUGUCGCCCGGAGCCUGUGACGUCACGGCGCGGUGCACCUGGUGCGCAAGGUCGGCGGCGAGGACGACGGGUGCAGCUACGCCCUGAAGGAGCUGCGCUAGGGGCCGCAUCGCCAGACCCAGGAGGUGCCAUCCAGGUCCUUCCCGAAGGAGCGGCGAGUCCUGGAGGCUUCCUCCUGCACCUGCACUGCGCCAUCCAGACGGAGGAGGUGGCCUUCUUCGUGGUCGACCACGCGGCGGGAGGCCCCCUAACAGCCGUGCUGGAGGACCUGUGGUUCCUGCCCGUCUGGUGCCGGCCCAGCUGUUCGCGGCCCUGGACACCCUCCACUCGCUCGGCGUGAGUCACCGAGACGUACAGACUGACAAGUUGUUUCAAGGCCGAAGCCCGGCCGAGCCUCACCACCACCUCCUCCUGGAACUGAACCCGUUUGGUGCUCGGAGCCGGCGGAGGAAGGCACGACUGAGCACUCGGCGCCCGAGGCGCUCCUGAGGACUCCGCCCGGCUGCACCGCCGCCGGGGACUGCUGGGGCGCGGGCGUGAUGGGGUUCGAGCUGCUGACGGGCAGCCUGCCCUUCGACCCGGAGGACGAGGGCGACCUGAACAUCAUCAACCAGGAGCCGCACUCCCAGCCGUGCCUGUCGCCCGAGGCGGCGGACUCGCUCAGGAGUCAGGGCCGACAGCACACCUGGCAGAGGACGGCGGGGUUGCUGAGCUGGAACGAUACCUGCCGGGGUUCAACCUCGCUCCGUCAAACCACCAGCAGUCCUCGUCCAGUCCGCAGCCUGGCUCGUCGGCGACAGCGUCGAGAGCCAGCGAUAUAGCCACGACAGCCCGCCCAGUUGGAGAAAUAUGGAGUAAGAGGCAGACAGCUGAAGCAAGAGGAAACAGCUGGAACAAGAUGCUGACAGCUGGAGCAAAAGGCAGACAGUCGGAGCAUGAGGCAGACAGCUGGAGCAAAAGUCAGACAGCUGGAGCAAGAGGCAGACAGCUAGAGCAAGAGGCAGAACAGAUGGAGCAUGAGGCAGACAGCUGGAGCAAGAGACUGAACAGCUGAAGCAAGAGGCAGAACAGCUGGAGCAUGAGGCAGACAGCUGGAGCAAGAGGCAGAACAGCUGGAGCAUGAGGCAGAACAGCUGGAGCAAGAUGCAGACAGUUGGAGCAAGAGGCAGACCAGCUGGAGCGAGAGGCAGAAGAGCUGGAGCAAGUGGUAUAACAGCUGUAGCAAGAGGCAGAGAGACAGCUGUAGCAAGAGUGAGAGAGACAGCUGCAGAAAGAGUGAGAGAGAUAGGUGGAUAAAGAGAGAGAUAUUAGGAAAAGGAGAGAGAUAGACAUGUGAAAUAAGAGAGAGAGACAGCUGGAGCAAUUGAGAGACAGCUGGAAUAGAGUUACAUAGCUGGAGCGAGAGACAGAAAGCUGGAGCAAGAGGCAGACAGCUGCAGUAGGAGAGAGACAGCUGGAGCAGGAGACAGACAGCUGUAGACGGAGACAGACAGCUGGAGUAGGAGAUAGACAGCCGGAGCAAGAGCCAGAACUGCUGGAGCAAGAGGCAGACAGCUGGAGCAAGAGGCAGAACAGCUGUAGCAAGAGGGCAGAUCCGCUGGAGAAUGAGGCAGACACCUGGAGCAAGAGGCAGAACAGCUGGAACAUAAGGCAAAACAGCUGGAGCAUGAAGCAGAUAACUGGAACAUGAGCCAGAACAGCUGGAGCAAGAGGCAGACAGCUGGAGCAAGAGGCAUAACAGCUGGAGCAAGAGGGCAGAUCCGCUGGAGAAUCAGGCAGACAGCUGGAGCUAGAGGCAGACCAGCUGGAGCGAGAGGCAGAAGAGCUGGAGCAAGUGGUAGAACAGCUGUAGCAAGAGGAAGAGAGACAGCUGUAGUAAGAGUGAGAGAGACUGCUGCAGAAAGAGUGAGAUAUGUGGAAAAGGAGAGAGAUAGACAUGUGAAAUAAGAUAGAGAGACAGCUGGAGCAAUUGAGAGACAGCUGGAAUAGAGAUAUAUAGCUGGAGCGAGAGACAGAAAGCUGGAGCAAGAGGCAGACAGCUGGAGCAGGAGAGAGACAGCUGGAGCAGGAGACAGACAGCUGUAGAUCGAGACAGACAGCUGGAGUAGGAGACAGACAGCUGACGCAGGAGACAGCAAGAGCAUGAGACAGAUAUAUGGAACAGGAGACAGACAGAUGGAGCAGGAGACAGACAGCUGGAGCAAUUGAGAGAGACAGCUGAAGCAAUUGAGAGAGACAGAUCUAGCAAGAGAGGGAUACAGCUGGAGGACAGACAUACAGCUGGAGCAGAGACAGACAGCUGGAGCAAGAGACACACAGCUGGAGCAGGAGACAGACAGAUGGAGCAAUUGAGAUUAACAGUUGGAGCAAUUGAGAGCGACAGCUUUGCAA